GAGUUCUGUGGCAGAACGCCUGCUUUGCAUGCAGAAGGUUCCAGGUUCAAUCCUCGGCAUCUCCA